rnacentral:sRNA from 1 species
GUAUUUCUAGGGCUUCAUUAGUUCAAAUGGUAGAAAUGUCCUUCCAUUGAUUAGUAAGUGAUGGUUUGCGCAGAUAUACUCCUCCACUGUAACCUCGUCGGUUUGUUCAGCAGCUUUGUCUCCUUGCGCCAUGACUGUGGCUCAUACUCAGUCUCGAUGUCCUCAUCAAUCAACUCAUAUCUACUCGACAUCGCUCUCUUUCCUCUAGCGAUUUCAGCUCUUCUCU